AGGACGAACGCUGGCGGCGUGCUUAACACAUGCAAGUCGAGCGGAAAGGCCCUUCGGGGUACUCGAGCGGCGAACGGGUGAGUAACACGUGAGCAACCUGCCCCUGGCUCUGGGAUAGCCUCCGGAAACGGGGAUUAAUACCGGACAUGACCUGCUGCCGCAUGGUGGCGGGUGGAAAGUUUUUCGGCCAGGGUGGGGCUCGCGGCCUAUCAGCUUGUUGGGGGGGUGACGGCCCACCAAGGCGACGACGGGUAGCCGGCCUGAGAGGGCGACCGGCCACACUGGGACUGAGACACGGCCCAGACUCCUACGGGAGGCAGCAGUGGGGAAUAUUGCGCAAUGGGCGGAAGCCUGACGCAGCGACGCCGCGUGCGGGAUGAAGGCCUUCGGGUUGUAAACCGCUUUCACCAGGGGCGAAGCGAGAGUGACGGUACCUGGGGAAGAAGCGCCGGCUAACUACGUGCCAGCAGCCGC
rnacentral:rRNA from 1 species